CCUCGGGUGAUUCUCACAAGAGAAUCCUUGGAGGGGAACCUUGCAAUGACAAUUAUGCUAAGCACUAUGUAAAACUCGAGGCCACUAGAUUGAGAGGAGCUUCAAAUAAAAUGGAGUCACGAGCCUGUGGUGGCUCUCUUAUUCAUGAGAAAUGGGUCCUUACAGCUGAGCACUGCACUAGCUAUGGGAGUACAAUAACAGCGAUACUGGGUGCACAUCCAGGUGGAACACCUAAACCAGAAGAGGUCCAGAUUCCUGAAGAAAACAUACGACGUUAUAUAGAAAGACAAGUCAGUCAUGACAUCAUGCUGCUGAAGCUGCCUAAGGCAUACCCUCAGUUCACUACCAUUCAGCUUCCUCCCUCUACAUGCCAGACACCUGAGUUGAAGGAGAAUGUGAGAAUUGCAGGCUGGAGUUACACAGAAGAUGGUAGGUAGAAAGCCAGAGAAACUACAGUGUUCAAAAUCAGGAGACCUCCAAGUCACUGAGUGUUACCCCACAGAAGAUGCUCAAACCAAAAUUCAAAUGCGAUUCUGCGCAGCAGCUCCAGGGAAGAUGGACGCCUGCCAUGGGGACUCUGGAGGAAGUCUGAUGAACAAAGAUGGCCUCCUGUAUGGUGUGACCUCACGGGCUAGUAAAACAGAGUGUAAAGUUCCAAUCAACUUCAUGGAUGUUUGCAAGUACCGAGGAUGGAUAAUGGAAGAAAUCAAUAAAGAUAAUUCAUUGAAUAGUGAGUAAACAAAUGAUGUACUCCAAAUAAAAGGUGUUCUCAGAUCUC